UCGCACAUUGGAAAGAUUUGU
rnacentral:piRNA from 1 species